UACGAAGGGUGCAAGCGUUAAUCGGAAUUACUGGGCGUAAAGGGUGCGUAGGCGGUUGUUUAAGUCUGUCGUGAAAUCCCCGGGCUCAACCUGGGAAUGGCGAUGGAUACUGGACAGCUAGAGUGUGGCGGAGGAUGGUGGAAUUCCCGGUGUAGCGGUGAAAUGCGUAGAGAUCGGGAGGAACAUCAGUGGCGAAGGCGGCCAUCUGGGACAACACUGACGCUGAAGCACGAAAGCGUGGGGAGCAAACAGG
rnacentral:rRNA from 1 species